CCCUACGGACGGGAAGUUAUAAUAAAAACUAUUUUAUAUGAUUUUAUAUAAAUCUAUGAAGCAUUUAAAAUCAUUAUAGAAAAUUGUAUUACAUACAAACAAAUAAUGAUAACUUUAAAAUAUUCAAUUUAUUUGAGUAGAAUAUCAUAACUUUAAUAAUAUUUUCACAACAAUUUUAUCUUUAUUUUACUAUUCAUUUUGGAGAUUAUAUACUUAUCUAACUAUUAUAUAAUUUAAAAUUAAAAUUAUUUACUUUAUUUCAUUGUUUGUUUUAGUCUAUGGAUUAAAAAUUACAGUCAAUUGGAUUCAGUAGAGUUAUAAAUAAUAAGUGAACUUUCCGUUAAUUUCUAUUUCAUUUAUAUGUUUUUUUAUGAAUUAAAUUAUUUUUAUUUUUAAAGAUAUAUUUUCUGAAAAUUAAUUACACAUGGAAAAGAAAUAACUUAUUCAUUAAUAUUUUAAAAUCUAUCUAAUUACAUUGGAGCGCUCACGUUUAUUUUGUGUAAUGAUUUUUUUGAUGGCCUUCCAACUUUAAUCUCUCAUUGUCUUAUUUUACAUCCAUUCAGUCUUGUUCAAGUAGAUUCUCCGGACUGCUAACUUUUCCCUACAUAACAUGAGAAUAUCGUAUAGACAAAUGGCAUUGAUAUAAAAACUUUGUGUUGAUGUUCGAAAGUGAUGCAUCCCUAAGUUGACACUAUUUUUAUGGUAAUAUUUUUGUAUGUUUUUCACAUACUGAGCUCCUGCUUUCCGAGUGGAAAGGCAUCUCGUCAUUAGAUCAACGUAGCUGAUUAGUGGUGCUCAUGGAUGGUCUGUAACGAAUAGAUACAUAUGUUCUUGUAGACCUAGGGAUCCAGAGCGGUUUUGGAUAAAAUCAAUAAUGAUUGCAUGACAUUUCCAACAUUGAUCUUUGAAAAUUAACCAUAUUUAUAAUCUAUGGAAUAAGUUCAGGAUUUUUCUUCAAAAAUAAAUAAGGUGAGGGUUUUAUUAAUUUUUUAAUUCUUUUUUAGAAGAAAUUAUCUCACACAUAUUGGUCUCGCCCAAAAAUAAUAACCAAAUGUUUUGAUUUUGACCCAUUUAAUGUGUAUUUGAAACCACUUGUAAAGCUCAUUCAGGAUUUUUUAAAAUAAUAACAAUUCCUGGAGAACCAAUGAUCAUAUAUGCAUACUUAGAACUUCUACAUACCAGUUUUAUCUAAAUUCUAAAGUAAAGAUAUUGAGCAUGUACUUUUACAAAAAAAAAUAUUGAGCAUGUUAGUGACAAACUAAAUGCCAUAAUCCGAAACUCAUAUCCAUACUCAUAAGUCAUAACCAUUAUAACACUAAUACAACACGUGGAAGAUCAUGGCAUCAACAUCUAAGCAAGUGGCCUUUGAUUAGAUGAAUUCUCCCGAUGCAGAGAGCACCAUGCUCAGCCGUAAGCUUCACCAGCAAUCAUUUUGAGAGCUUAGUCAUUGCCGAUAUUUGCCCAAAUCACCUCCUUUUUUCUUGGUGAUACAAUCUCUCCGCCGGUAAAAAAUCAGAGCAUAAUCCAAUAAGCAUCUCAAUAACACUCUAAUCAACGGAGAGCGGACUCUUUGUAGGGGGAACACCGAGAGUACUGAAUCCGACCAGAUGAUUAGAAGAAAUCCAACAA